CGAGCAGGCGCGGCGGGCGCUGUCCCAGCCCGCUUCCGCAAAUGCGACCCUGUCGCAAGGGCGGCCGGGGAGAGACGGGUACGGUCUGGGAGAGCGUCGCAGAGGGACUACAUGGCCCGGCGGAUGGAUCCUAUGCGCUCGCAACUGGUGCCACGUCUGAUAGGCGCCCGCCGGUACCCGCCCUCGGCGCGGUGGUUCCGUUAACGCGGCGUUCCGUCGGGUGCUGUGACCUGACCGCGGGGUCUUCGGCUCUCUAAGGGCUGCACGGCGCUGGUGCCACCGCGAAGGAGAGUCAGACCAAGGUCCAGCCCGGGCCUGGGCCUGGUUACCGCAGCCCCCGGGGUACGCGAGAUUCUGGUGAGCCGGGGCGGCACGAGGGCUCCCGGUGAGCUGCCGGCAGAGGGGCCGGGGACAAGCGAGCCUCGUGGCAGGCACGGAUGAGCUCCCUCGGGCGGUCGGGAGUCACGCGCUGGGCUGGAUCCAUGGCAAACAGAUGAGCCCUGUGCAGAGGGGAGGAACACUCUGUGCUCCCAGGUCAGGGAAACAUGUCCCGUCGGAAACAGACCACUCCUAACAAAGUUCACUUGAACAUUGCUUUCUUCUCUGCAAUACAAAUGAUUGUAUCUCCAGUCUUGGUUUCGGAGGAAGCUGUCUGACAAACACGCUACCAGGGGGCAGGAGGUUAUAGCAUCAGGUAUGCCAUGGAGUGGAAUUCUGGGACCUGUUCAUCUCCUUUACAUGCAGUAUGUUGCUACAGAGCAACUUUUCAGCAGGAGCCAUCGAGAGCAGCAAGUAGGACCACAAGAAAAUAAGGGGACCGAGAGAUACCAGAAACUUGUCAGUGGUGAUGUCUUCACCUUGGGAUGGAAAAUCUUGUCUAUCUUAUGAUGAACACCACGAAAUCGUUGGGACUUCUCUGUCUACCUAGCCUGCUGUGUGUCUGGAGGGCCCAGAAAUGCCGUGCAGUGCCCUGACGAGGAUAAUCGGAGAAAACACCGGCUCCAAGAACGGGGUGAGCCAGCAGAAUGAGGAGUCAGGCUGAGACAUAGCAGACACGUUACUGGGACUUCUUCACAGGGACUGCAGUGGUUGGGAGGAGAGGAAUGAAAGGGACAGCAGGUAUGCAGCUUUUUACGCAGUUGCCUGCAGCUGGGGUCUGAUUUGGCAGGCUAUGGGGCUGGGGAACUGUCUUUUGGAUUUGCAUAAAUACGACUGUGCAUAUAUGACUGGACAGAUUUGAUGGGAGGAUGGUGCCUUCUUCCUUGCAUGGCCACUCCGUCUUUUCUUUCUUCUUGGACUGACUAGGGCGAGUGACAGCUGCUGAUCUCCUUUCCUUGGCUUGCUUGGUGUCUCUUCUUUCCAGGAUUACUUUCCAGGCUUGGCAUGGCCCUCAUUUCACCUUGCUCUCACGGCAACAUGGUUUGCUAUCCUCCCUUAGGACAGAAUCACUUUGCUUGGCAAGCAGAGCAACCAGCUAGGAGAUUGUAUGGUUACAAAUCAAAACAGUUUUAAACAGAAGUUGAUAUGUAAGGAAAUUCAAAAUAAUACUGAAACGAUGAUAAAAAUUGUGGUAAAAUUUAUCACAAAAGUCUUUCUGUGCAUGAUGGCCAGUCCCACAGUUUUAAUUGUAGACCUUUCCCCUGCAGAACAUAAAUAGCUCUUAAGAAUAAAAUUUUAUAUUUGCCACAUGGUGCAUGAAAAACACACCUGACAAAGUGCUAACAAACAGAGCAGUAAUAGUGGAAUAUACUGGUUGAAAAAUAAAAUGCAGUUAGGUGUGAUGAUAACUUAAUUGAUUCAAUUUGGUCUUUAUUUCCUCCCAGAGUAUGCAGUAGAAAAGUAUAAAAACUCUAAGCAGUUCAUCUGUUCUUGCAUUCAUCUGUUACUGCGCUGUCACCCCAUCAGUCAUGGACCACUUGCUGUCUUUGUGCUUGCCAAAAUUUGUUGCAGUAACCACUACAGCAGUGUGGACAACCCAGAAUAGCCAUUGGGCAGGUGGAAUAGAUCCACAGUGGUGGAAAGACUUGCAAAUUUCAGGUCCAGGAAUACAGAGAAGACCUACAUGAACAGGGACUUUUAAUUGAUGUACAAGGAGGGAAUAAACUGACUUAUCUCUGAGAUAACUUUCUGUUUAGGAAGGAAGGCAGGAGAAUGAUCCCUUUGGAUUUUAUUUUGUGGAUUUGGGGGUGGGAGUUGUUUGUUUCUGUGUUUAUUUUCCAGAACACCUGAGAGUUACCCUGCAUUCAUACAGUUCAAGAAGGGAAGUACUCAGGGCUGAUACCCCAGCAGACCCUAGCAGUCAUGCCAUGUCCAUGUUACACAGUACCACAGGGCUGUCCCCUACCCCCACCACUGCUCACUUGGCAUCCCACUCAUUCACAGCAGUAUGGAGAGGAGAAUGGAAUACAAAGCAGAGGCAUUUGUAUGAUCUCUCUUGUCCUACGUCAAUAGCUGUUUGUAAACAACUACAGUGAUUUGUUUUGGUGUUAUGGUCAGCCUGCAGCCCUUCUUGUAUUUAAUAAAGAAACUUCUGGAGAAGAGUCUGUGAAUUCA